UUUUGUUGUUGUUUCGUUUUUUUGUUGUUGUGCUUGUUUGUUUUUUGGUGCUGCCAUUUGCAUCUCUGGGUUGGCAGCUCUUUCAGCACCAAGUCCGGGAAUCUUGGCAAAAACAAUACGUAAGGAACUCACCAGUUCAGUUGCAAGGCCCUUAGCCAUUCUGCCUUCUUAUCUUACCUUUUCAAAGUCUUAGAUUGGUUUUUAUAUAAUGUCUAGGGGUCUUAGGGGUACUCAAUAUGAGAAGUAUUCAAAAAUAUGUUUCUUGCAUCUUUGUGGAAGUGAAAUCCUUCCACUGGCUUGUUAAUGGUGUUCUAUCUACUUAUCUAUCUCCAAAUGUGCAUUAGUGCUCCAAAAGGCUGAUUCAUUAUUAUGCAAUGUCUCAUGCAUCUUCCCCCUACUGUCCUUUUUUUUUUUCCCCCAGAGGAAAAUGUGAAUUAACACAGCCCCCUACUACCACAAAUUAAGCAGUUGAGUUUCCCACAUUUGGGGAAAUCACAGGCGUCAGCACAUCCAGAGUGCUGUGGAUAAGCCUCGCCCUGGGAAAACCACCUUCAGGAUCACGGUACCUCCCCUGCCAAAAAUGUUGCAAAAAAUAGCAUAUGGAAUCCCAGUAUACCUCUUCUGCAGCUUCACUUUCUGAUGCAAAAGGAAAUGUGGACACUCCAGAAACUCCUGGCGCAUGACUCCAUCUCGGAGGUGUAAUAUAGUGCAUCAACAAUGUAGUACUGAUACAUCAAUGAACAAACAGAUGGACUGAUUAAACAGGAUAAAUAGUCUGAAAAUGAUGUUACUAUGGAAAAACAUUACAGUCUAAAAAAGAAAAGGACACCUGCCAUAUUGGACUAGAGCCCAUACCACUCCAGGAUGACCUCAUCUUAACUAAUUACAUCUGCAACGACCCUAUUUCCAAAUAAGGUCACAUUCU